rnacentral:rRNA from 1 species
AUUGAACGCUGGCGGCAGGCCUAACACAUGCAAGUCGAACGGAGCGGCGGACGGGUGGGUAAUGCCUAGUAAUCUGCCUGUUGGUGGGGGAUACAGUCCGGGACCGGGCGCUAAUACCGCAUACUAUCAGAUGAGCCUAGGUCGGAUUAGCUAGUUGGUGGGGUAAAGGCCUACCAAGGCGACGAUCCGUAACUGGUCUGAGAGGAUGAUCAGUCACACUGGAACUGAGACACGGUCCAGACUCCUACGGGAGGCAGCAGUAGGGAAUAUUGGACAAUGGGCGAAAGCCUGAUCCAGCCAUGCCGCGUGUGUGAAGAAGGUCUUCGGAUUGUAAAGCACUGUAAGUAGGGAGGCGUUACCAACAGAAUAAGCAACGGCUAACUACGUGCCAGCAGCCGCGGUAAUUC